CAGUCGCCACGGGAAUACGAAGGGUGCAAGCGUUAAUCGGAAUUACUGGGCGUAAAGCGUGCGUAGGCGGUGAGUUAAGUCUGCUGUGAAAUCCCCGGGCUCAACCUGGGAAUGGCAGUGGAUACUGGCUCGCUAGAGUGUGUCAGAGGAUGGUGGAAUUCCCGGUGUAGCGGUGAAAUGCGUAGAGAUCGGGAGGAACAUCAGUGGCGAAGGCGGCCAUCUGGGACAACACUGACGCUGAGGCACGAAAGCGUGGGGAGCAAACAGGAUUAGAUACCCCCGUAGUCCCUGUCUCUUAUAC
rnacentral:rRNA from 1 species